UCAUACUGCACAACUGGGCUCUACAUCACCACCUUAAGUUGUAUUUCCAACCCUAACACACACACACACACACACAACCCACAGAGCUCCUACCUGGUCCAGGGAGUCCCGGCUCCUCCUCGGCCUGCCCUGGAUGCUUGUUGGCGGGGACAGAUCUGUGAGCGCUCUCCCCCGGCAUGCUUCUCUGCUGGCUGACUCUGACGCAACAAUAAAAGCCAGAACAGACAAGAUGGAUCUGCAGUCUCUCGAUGCCCAUGUCCUCCUCCCCUCCUCUCCAUCCCACCUCCUUCCAAGCUGGGCCUGGAUGUGAGGGAGAUGACGUCAGCAGGUUCCUGCCACUCAGCGCUGCCCCUCGGCGGCGAAGAAGAGUACUGCAAAAACAAGGCGGCCAUGGAAGUGUCAAAAGAUAAGCGAGCGCGCCUGAAUGUGUCCUACGAGGCCACGGCCCCAGGACAACAUCUGUUUCUUCUCCCUCACCUCCGCUGCAUCCUUCUCCUUUGAAGAAGAAACGGUGGAGAAGGCAAAGGCCGCAACGCUGACACCGCUGAUCAGUUUCCAUGGCAACCCUAAACUUCCCCACCACAUUGUUGCAGAGCAGAGCAGAAGUCACCGGGUUCGUUGCUUACAGUGAUUAUAUUUUUUUAAGGGAGUAGAUGAGAUUGUGUGGUCACAUGUUGCAAGACUACAUUUCAGUUCAGGUGAGGCAGGACUCUCAUUAAAACAUCCACUGACAAACACAUGAUCGUCGUGUGGACCUGACGGCUAAUUGUUAUAAUCGCACUUUGUUUGGGGCAGCGCGGUGCGACGGGUUGGUGCGUUUGCCUCACAAUACGACGGUUCUAGGUUCGACCCUACGCUCGGGAUCUUUCUGUGUGGAGUUUGCAUGUUCUUCCCGUGACUGCGGUGGUUCCCUCCGGGUACUCCGGCUUCCUCCCACCUCCAAAGACAUGCACCUGGGGAUAGGUUGAUUGGCAACACUAAAUGGUCCCUAGUGUGUGAAUGUGAGUGUGAAUGUUGUCUGUCUAUCUGUGUUGGCCCUUUGGUUGGAUAGUGACUUGUCCAGGGUGUAUGCUGCCUUCCGCUCGUAUGAAGCUGAGAUAGGCUCCAGCACCCCCCGCGACCCCUAAAGGGACAAGCAGUAGAAAAUCGAUGGAUGUACAAGGAAAUAUAGUAUCUUUUUCUCUUAUUUGGAUUGUUUUACCUCGAGAUCACGGGUGUCCAAAGUACUUUUUGGCCCACAGCUCGUUUUUUUGAAAAUGAGGGUAAUUCAUGAUUGAUUAUUACGCUAUAUUUUUAGAUAUUACACUAAUAACUAAUGCACAAUAUAAAAUGUAGGAUUGUAAGUACUCCUCUGCAUACCAUUGUAUGCUUAUCAACAUUAAAGAAAACAUAAAAAAAUAUAUAUUCAGAACACGUAUCUUUAAUAACAUUGUUUUUAGUCAGUAAUAGAAAAUAUUUAACGUGCAUCAAUUUGCCCGAAAUAUUGGUGUGUGUGUAUAUAUAUAUAUAUAUAUUAUACAUACAUAUAUACAUACAGACAUACACCUACAUAUAUAUAUACUUAUAUAUACACAUACAUAUAUAUCCAUCCAUCCAUUUCUAUAGCUUAUUCCCUUUUGGGGUCACGGGGGGCGCUGGUGCCUAUCUCAGCUACAAUCCGACGGAAGGCGGUGUACAACCUGGACAAGUCGCCAUCUCAUUGCAGGGCAUACAUAUAUAUAAAAUACAUAAAUAUACAUGUAUGUAUAUAUACAUAUAUAUGUACAAAUAUAGAUAUGUAUACAUAUGUGUAUGUAUGUCUAUAUAUACAUAUAAAUAUAUAUCUAUAUAUAUAUAUUGAUAUAAAACCCCGUUUCACCGUGCUGCCCCCAUUUGAUACGAAAAAAUUAAAUACGAAAAAAAAAAAACUCAAUAAUAAUGCAUUCAAAUUGAUCAGCGACAAUAACGCAGGGGAACAAUAUAUAAAAUAUUAAAAUUAAUAAAACAAUUUGUGCUAAUAUUUUUUUAUUUAUAAAACUUAGGAUGUCAGGAUUAAAUGGCUACUAUGAGCACAUGUAGUGCACAGCCUUUCGAAGCGGGGUUUGAAGCAUGAUACUGAUAAUGCAUGUUUCCUGGGUCCACACGUGCGCCCCCGCCCCACUAUUUGAAAUGGAUUGCUCUAUUAUUGACCUCAAUUGGAUUGUUUUUAUUGCAUUAUGUACAAUGUGUAUCGCAAUGGCCGCUGCAUCCUUUACGUUUUCUGUGUGCGGCCCCUGGUGUAUGGACCUUCUUGCCAUUGAAAUGCAUGAUUGUACAAAAGUCGAGUGAGAAUGUCUCCUAAAGGUCAAGUCAAUUUCACAAAUUGGAAUUGCAUUUGAAAUGUAAAUUGAACAAAGUACAAUUGACAUAGCCUUUCAUUCCAAUUAAUAGAUUUGGUGUUUUCCUCAGCCAUGCUUUGCAGGAGUUUGUAGUUAUUAUUAACAUGAACCUCAUGGACACAUUUUAUGUUCAGGUAAAUUGAUGGAGUUUGUUAUAACCUUUCUACACAUAUAAUUACAGUACACAUAUUUGACAGUUAAGAAUGAAACCUUGUACAAAACUUUAAUCAGAUGUAUUAUAACUUUUGUUUCAUUGUAUUUUUAUUGAUUUGUUUUUUACUUGUUUUAUUUUUAAUACUUUUUAUUGUUUCUUUUUAUGUGCAGCACUCUGGAAACAGUUCUGUGUUUUAUAGUGCUUUUAUAAAAAAAAAAGGGGGAUUGGACUGAAUACAACUUUAACAUUUUUGAAAA